GACGAACGCUGGCGGCGUGCUUAACACAUGCAAGUCGAACGAAGUGGCGAACGGGCGAGUAACGCGUAAUUAACCUGCCCUUCAGAGGGGGACAACAGUUGGAAACGACUGCUAAUACCGCAUAUUGUAGGUGGGGAUUGCGUCUGAUUAGUUAGUUGGAGGGGUAACGGCCCACCAAGGCGAGGUUCAGGAGCCGGUCUGAGAGGAUGAAUGGCCACAUUGGGACUGAGGCACGGCCCAGGCUCCUACGGGAGGCAGCAGUUGGGAAUCUUCCGCAAUGGACGGAAGUCUGACGGGGCAACGCCGCGUGGGUGAUGACGGCCUUCGGGUUGUAAAGCUCUGUUAGUCGGGACGCGGUACCGGAAUAGAAUGCCACGGCUAACUACGUGCCAGCCGCCGCGGUAAUAC
rnacentral:rRNA from 1 species